GCUCCACCUGCCAGUACCAGCUGGGCUGCUCGCACACGUGAUAGAGUCCCAUGGAACCAUGGGUAACCAAUGAGAGUGGCAGCCACGUCCGUCUCCACAGGAGGUUCACCAGGACCUGAAUACGUGAAGAAAGAGUGUAAAAUUGAGAUUACCCACCUUCAGAGAGGAGCUCACAGCUGCAGGAGGCCACCAUGGAGAAUUCUUUGGACGGUUGGCCGUGUGGACAUGACGCAAGCUCGAUGUCAUCGCCGCUGUCCCUGAAAUACACACCACACCUAAGCACCAGUCACGUGCUUUAAGAUUGCAGAUCGAGGGGGAGCCUGGAGCCUAUCCCACGGAACUCAGGGCACACAAGGCAGGAGACACCCCGGCACAAUCGCACACUUCGGAAAUGCCAAUCAGCCUACAACACAUGUCUAUGGACUGGAGGAGGAAACCGGAGUACCCGGACCAAACCCCCGAAGAACACACACAGGGCGGAGGCAGGAUUCGAACCCUAAUCCCCAGAGGUGCAAGGCAAAUAUUUAUCCCUGCAGUUUACCCAGGAUCUAUGCAGUCCUGGAUGUCAGCAACCCAGGAGUUCUUCUGAAGAGAGUCGAUGGUCUCCAAGAUAUACUCGCCACCAUUUUCCACCUGUGGCAGAGCACAAAGGCAUGGUGUUUGUAGGACUAGCUCACUUCCCAGCACUAUUUACCACCAGUGAAACCACACAGACGAAUAGUUUCCAUGUUAGCGCUAUAAAGUAAAGCUCUAUAGUCAAUGAGUUAAUGUUUUCAUGUUAUUAAUAUCAACUAGUGUAUAUGACAAGUUUGUAGACAAGCAAAACAAGCUGAAAUAAAGGAAUUUCGAUGCGUAAAACAUAA